UGAGUAACACGUGGGUAACCUGCCCAUCAGAAGGGGAUAACACUUGGAAACAGGUGCUAAUACCGUAUAACAAUCGAAACCGCAUGGUUUUGAUUUGAAAGGCGCUUUCGGGUGUCGCUGAUGGAUGGACCCGCGGUGCAUUAGCCUACCGUUGGGUGAGGGUAACGGCUCACCAAGGCCACGAUGCCAUAGCCGACCUGAGAGGGUGAUCGGCCACAUUGGGACUUGAGACACGGCCCAAACUCCUACGGGAGGCAGCAGUAGGGAAUCUUCGGCAAUGGACGAAAGUCUGACCCGAGCAACGCCGCGUGAGUGAAGAAGGUUUUCGGAUCGUAAAACUCUGUUGUUAGAGAAGAACAAGGAUGAGAGUAACUGUUCAUCCCUUGACGGUAUCUAACCAGAAAGCCACGGCUAACUACGUGCCAGCAGCCGCGGUAAUACGUAGGUGGCAAGCGUUGUCCGGAUUUAUUGGGCGUAAAGCGAGCGCAGGCGGUUUCUUAAGUCUGAUGUGAAAGCCCCCGGCUCAACCGGGGAGGGUCAUUGGAAACUGGGAGACUUGAGUGCAGAAGAGGAGAGUGGAAUUCCAUGUGUAGCGGUGAAAUGCGUAGAUAUAUGGAGGAACACCAGUGGCGAAGGCGGCUCUCUGGUCUGUAACUGACGCUGAGGCUCGAAAGCGUGKGGAGCAAACAGGAUUAGAUACCCUGGUAGUCCACGCCGUAAACGAUGAGUGCUAAGUGUUGGAGGGUUUCCGCCCUUCAGUGCUGCAGCUAACGCAUUAAGCACUCCGCCUGGGGAGUACGACCGCAAGGGUUGAAACUCAAAGGAAUUGACGGGGGCCCGCACAAGCGGUGGAGCAUGUGGUUUAAUUCGAAGCAACGCGAAGAACCUUACCAGGUCUUGACAUCCUUUGACCACUCUAGAGAUAGAGCUUCCCCUUUCGGGGGCAAAGUGACAGGUGGUGCAUGGUUGUCGUCAGCUCGUGUCGUGAGAUGUUGGGUUAAGUUCCCGCAACGAGCGCAACCCUUAUUGUUAGUUGCCAUCAUUCAGUUGGGCACUCUAGCAAGACUGCCGGUGACAAACCGGAGGAAGGUGGGGAUGACGUCAAAUCAUCAUGCCCCUUAUGACCUGGGCUACACACGUGUCUACAAUGGGGGGAAGAAAUACACAACGAAAGUGUGCGAAGUCGCGAGGCUAAGCUAAUCUCUUAAAGCUUCUCUCAGUUCGGAUUGCAGGCUGCAACUCGCCUGCAUGAAGCCGGAAUCGCUAGUAAUCGCGGAUCAGCACGCCGCGGUGAAUACGUUCCCGGGCCUUGUA
rnacentral:rRNA from 1 species